rnacentral:rRNA from 1 species
CAGCAUAUCAAUAAGCGGAGGAAAAGAAACCAACAGGGAUUGCCCUAGUAACGGCGAGUGAAGCGGCAACAGCUCAAAUUUGAAAUCUGGCUUCGGCCCGAGUUGUAAUUUGCAGAGGAAGCUUUGGGCGCGGCACCGACUGAGUCCCCUGGAACGGGGCGCCAUAGAGGGUGAGAGCCCCGUAUAGUCGGACGCUAAGCCUGUGUAAAGCUCCUUCGACGAGUCGAGUAGUUUGGGAAUGCUGCUCAAAAUGGGAGGUAAAUUUCUUCUAAAGCUAAAUACCGGCCAGAGACCGAUAGCGCACAAGUAGAGUGAUCGAAAGAUGAAAAGCACUUUGAAAAGAGGGUUAAAUAGCACGUGAAAUUGUUGAAAGGGAAGCGCUUGUGACCAGACUUGCGCCUGGCUGAUCAUCCGGUGUUCUCACCGGUGCACUCUGCCAGGCUCAGGCCAGCAUCGGUUCUCGCGGGGGGAUAAAGGCCCUGGGAACGUAGCUCCUCCGGGAGUGUUAUAGCCCAGGGUGCAAUGCCCUCGCGGGGACCGAGGUUCGCGCAUCUGCAAGGAUGCUGGCGUAAUGGUCAUCAGCGACCCGUCUUGAAACACGGACCAAGGAGUCAAGGUUUUGCGCGAGUGUUUGGGUGUAAAACCCGCACGCGUAAUGAAAGUGAACGUAGGUGAGAGCUUCGGCGCAUCAUCGACCGAUCCUGAUGUUUUCGGAUGGAUUUGAGUAGGAGCGUUAAGCCUUGGACCCGAAAGAUGGUGAACUAUGCUUGGAUAGGGUGAAGCCAGAGGAAACUCUGGUGGAGGCUCGCAGCGGUUCUGACGUGCAAAUCGAUCGUCAAAUCUGAGCAUGGGGGCGAAAGACUAAUCUAACCAUCUAGUAGCUGGUUACCGCC